rnacentral:pre_miRNA from 1 species
GAGACACCCUUGUGGGGCAAGACUUGCUUCAGUGGGGCUUUGGUGCUCACUGAGUCUGCCCCCUGAGUGUGUCCCU